CCGGGCGACUCGUUCAUACAGCGUAAAAACGACACUAGAUGGCUCUGUCGUUGUAUGUUCAUCAAGACGUUUCCACCAAUUACGCUAAACGGACUUUUCCGGUCGUUAAAAACAUUCCAUCCGAGAUCUGCCGACGGAAUUACAACGCACCUGUACUAAUAAAAGUUACUUCGGACAAUUUUCGCGUGAACGUCUGUAGUAUGCAUCGUCCCCUCCAGGUGCAAAUCUGGAGUCGUCAUCAGCCACGAUGAUGAAACUUGUCCAUCUGCCUGAGCGUGAGACAGCUGGUGGCUUGUCAAUUUAUUUGACUUUUGCCAUUCAGCGACGAUGAUCGCAACCGGGUCUCGAACCCGGGGGGUAGAUGGACAGUCUGAGUGGUCUACUGAUAAUUUAUACUCUGAUUAACUUCGAGAGUUAUUUCCGAAUGUUUUGAUUGUUGUAA